AUGCUGAUCGACAGUACGAUAUGCACGUACUUAGCUACGAUCCUCAGCAUUGCACGUACGUCAGUAUAUGUGCACUAAGUAACUACUGGAGGGCAAGUCCUGGUGCCAGCAGCCGCGGUAAUUCCAGCUCCAGUCGUGUGCUUUAAAGUCCUUAGCAGCACUCGCAUGCGCAUUUAGCUAGCCGUACAUGAUUAUGCUAGCUAACUGAAGGUUGUUGCGUUUAAAACGCUCGUAGUUGGAUCACGCAGUGACAUCGGGUUAUCUACCGGUUACGCAAACAAACUGUCUGUAGUUGUGCACAACGCACGUUGUGUUGCGAUUACACGAUGGGCCUAGCUGUGGAUAAAAUGGCUCGACGUCACUAUUUGCACGCAAGUAUGUUAAUUGACCUUUAAUGCGUUGAAUAUCAUGUCUUGCGGAGUGUGCCUUGAAUAAAACAGAGUGCUCAAAGCAGGCAAUAGCUUGAAUGUUAUAGCAUGGAACGAACAAACGUGUGAUAGUGCAUGUUUGGCUACGGCGAUGGAUCUUUGGUUCGUUGCUGCGGUCAACGUGCAUAGCACCUACCAAAAUACGGAUGUUGGUUCUGUAUACGGUGAUGAUUAAAAGGAGCGGUUGGGGGCAUUGGUAUUUGACCGCGAGAGGUGAAAUUCUUAGACCGGUCAAGGACUAACAAAUGCGAAGGCACUUGUCUAGACCGUUUCCAUUAAUCAAGAACGAAAGUGGGAGGUUCGAAGACGAUCAGAUACCGUCCUAGUUCCCACUGUAAACUAUGCCGACCCGGGAUUAGGCUGGAGAUGUUACUUGCUCCGGUUUGGUCCCACUGGGAAACCUUAAGUUUUUCGGUUACGGGGAGAGUAUGGUCGCAAGGCUGAAACUUAAAGGAAUUGACGGAAGGGCACCACCAGGGGUGGAGCCUGCGGCUUAAUUUGACUCAACACGGGGAAACUUACCUGGUCCGGACAUCGAUAGGAUAGACAGACUGAUAGAUCUUUCUUGAUGCGAUGAGUGGUGGUGCAUGGCCGUUCUUAGUUCGUGGAGUGAUCUGUCAGGAUAUGCGCACGUCGUAGUACAUACAGUGUCAGCUUUAUGCAUCGCAUGCAUGACUAGCAUUUGCAUACGAGCUCGCUGGCAAAUCUGACUAUUCGUUGGGUGUUGAUGUUGGGAGUAAUCACAGUGUUGGCAUUCAGCGGAGAAGGCUUUUUUCCCUUCCGUUAAGCAGUUUCUGGCUCCGGUUGGAGGCUGCCUUAUGGAGAGACAACGAGGUAUAUAUAAGCUCGAGGAAGAGUGGCUAUAACAGGUCAGUGAUGCCCUUCGAUGUUCAGGGCCGCACGCGCGCUACAAUGAUGACGACAGCAAGUGUCUGGGUUGAAAAACUUGGGUAAUCUUAAAUCGUCAUCGUGAUGGGGAUUGACCGUUGUAACUAUCGGUCAUGAAAGAGGAAUCCCUAGUAUAUGUAUUUUAUUAGAAUACAUAGACUUAGUCCCUGCCCUUUGUACACACCGCCCGUCGCUACUACCGAGUGAAUGGUGUCAUGAUGCCUGCGUCUGAGCAUAUGCACUGACAAUUUCUAGCAUGACUAGCUAAGCAUGAUAUUUUCGAUGCAUCACGUAUGCAUGUCAGUUUACUGACUAGCUAGACUGACGAUCUAGCAAUAUUUGCUAGCUAGCUCAGCAUGCAGUCAUGCAUGCAUAUGCACGUGCAGAUCGUAGCAUGAC
rnacentral:rRNA from 1 species